rnacentral:rRNA from 1 species
UACGAGGGGGGCAAGCGUUGUUCGGAAUUAUUGGGCGUAAAGGGUGCGUAGGCGGUUUGGUAAGUCUUAAGUGAAAUCUACAGGCUCAACUUGUAGUCUGCAUGAGAAACUGCCGGGCUUGAGUAUGGGAGAGGUGAGUGGAAUUCCUGGUGUAGCGGUGAAAUGCGUAGAUAUCAGGAGGAACACCUGUGGCGAAAGCGGCUCACUGGACCAUAACUGACGCUGAUGCACGAAAGCUAGGGGAGCAAACAGG